rnacentral:misc_RNA from 1 species
AUGAAUUUUAGGACUCUCUUUUUAGAGGUCCGACCAUUUCAUUUCCUUACACUGUGCACACACUUCUUUUUCACACAUUUUAACACUAUAGUAUAAGAAUGUAACAGUCUCUUAAUUGAGCAUAAAUAAAAAU